AAAUUACAUUUGUCAAAAAUAAGCACAAUCAAUCAAAGCCCAAGAUUAAAAUCUAUCUCGGUAGAAUUUACAAACGUAUACAUUGUACACAUAUAUACAUAUAGUAGAUACCUCUUAUUUGAAAACACAUAAUAUUAUAAUUCACAAAUCUUUACUUCUUUUAAAUUGGAAUUUAAUAUAAUAAAAAUUGUGCUUUUAGAAUACGACUAAAUCAGUUAUUUAUCAAAUACAAGACAAAUUGUACAAAAAAAAUUAAGUUUUGGCAUAUAAAUUGAGAACGAAAACCGAACUGAAAUAACAUAAAAAAAAAAAACAAAACUAAAUCAGUGUUAACAAAUACAUUAAUAGUUCAUAUAUCGAUGAAACAGAAAAUUCUAAACCAAAUUGAAUCUAAACCGAAAACUGAAUGGAUACCUGAAUAUCUUAAAUACAGUUUAUACACCUUAAAAUAUUAAUUAGCUUUAGUUCAAAAAUUAUCAAAUAUUCUAAUACUAAUACUUAUAACUGAACAACCCAAAAAUGGAUUACUCUAUUACUUUUUAUUCGAGAUAUUUAAAAUUUUCGUAAUUUCCCGGGAAUAAAAUAUUCGAAAUAUUUAAAUUUAUCCGAGUUAUUCGAUAUUGUAUAAAACAAAAUCCAAAAUGUGAUUUUACCCGAAUUAUUC
rnacentral:lncRNA from 1 species